UGCUAAUAUCUGGGUACUGUGUACAUGGAUCUUGAGUCUGGUUGGAAAGACUACAGCUGCUUACUGUACUAUUCUUUCAAUACUCAUUUCUCAGUAUGCUUGAUUCUUUUCAUAGACAAUCUAGUCCAGUCAGUGCUGUGCUGAUGUAGAUGGGGUAGGAUCACCCACUGAAGCUUGGAAUCCUACCAUAUGCCUCUUUCUUGAAGAAAGCUGACACUACCCCAGUGGCUUUCAACUACAAACCUCUUCAACCUGGGGGUAGCAGAGAUGACUGGAGGUCCACUAACUUCACCAAGUGUCUACAGAUGGUUAGAGCCACCGUGAGGAUUAAACAAACAGGAAUAAGAACACCAAUUACAAGCAGAGCCUUCCGUCUGCACCUGCUCUGACUUCUCCCUCAACAUGCUACCCGGAGCAGCCUAGCUGUCCGCAGCCUGCCUCUGAGCUUCAUCAGUUCCUAAGCUCCUGUCUUUUGGUAAAUCUACUCAGAUCAUCUGUGGGCCUCUCAGACCAUGUACAGUGCUUGGAUCUUAGAUUUUGGCUGAUAUGCAAAAAUUAAAAAGAACAAGAAACUCCCUAAGAGACUCCACAGCUGUGCAUGUAAAAAAGACAAAUAGCUAAAUAAAACCCACAAAUCUCUUCAAAUAAGAGCUGGGAGAAAGCAAAAGAAAUAAUAAAAAAAAGUCCUCAACUUAAUUUAUAAUCCAA